CGUUAGAGCAUUGAGAGGACUUUUACUUAAUACGAGAGGAUAAAGAAGGAUGCACCUCUGGUGUACCAGUUGUUGUACCCAUGGUAAACACUGGGUGGCCAAGUGCAGAGUAGAUAACUGCUGAAAGCCUCUAAGUAGGAAGUCCACCCUAAGAUGAGCGCUCUCCUAUUUCGAGUCCCCAGAACCUUCGGUAGCACAUCCGAGACAAUGACCGGUUCUCUGUCCCAACGAGAAUGGAGUGACAGAAGUUUUCAGGAUUCAAGAUAAAGUCACAGCGAGACGAGCCGUUUAUCAUUACAAUAGGUGUCAAGUGGAAGUGCAGUGAUGUAUGCAGUUGAGACAUCCUAACAGACCGA
rnacentral:ncRNA from 1 species